AUACGUAGGGAGCGAGCGUUGUCCGGAAUUACUGGGCGUAAAGGGCGCGUAGGCGGCGCUUCAAGUCGUCUGUCAAAUGGGAGGGCUUAACCCUUUUUCGCAGGCGAAACUGGAGAGCUUGAGAAGCAGAGAGGCAAACAGAAUUCCUGGUGUAGCGGUGAAAUGCGUAGAUAUCAGGAAGAAUACCAGUGGCGAAGGCGGUUUGCUGGCUGCAUACUGACGCUGAAGCGCGAAAGCCAGGGGAGCAAACGGGAUUAGAUACCCCGGUAGUCCUGGCAGUAAACGAUGUAUGCUGGGUGUGAGACUAGCGAUAGUUUCGUGCCGAAGUUAACGCGAUAAGCAUACCGCCUGGGGGGUACGGUCGCAAGAUUGAAACUCAAAUGAAUUGACGGGG
rnacentral:rRNA from 1 species